rnacentral:rRNA from 1 species
UACGUAGGUGGCAAGCGUUGUCCGGAUUUACUGGGCGUAAAGGGCGUGCAGGCGGUUUGUUAAGUCUAGGGUGAAAGCUCCCGGCUCAACUGGGAGAGGUCCUUGGAUACGGGCAGACUUGAGUGUUGCAGGGGAGACUGGAAUUCCUGGUGUAGCGGUGAAAUGCGCAGAUAUCAGGAGGAACACCGGUGGCGAAGGCGGGUCUCUGGGCAACAACUGACGCUGAGGAGCGAAAGCGUGGGGAGCGAACAGG